UGGGCCAGCAUGCGCAAUCUACACAUGCAGUCGAGCGGUAACAGGAAGAAGCUUGCUUCUUUGCUGACGAGCGGCGGACGGGUGAGUAAUACUUGGGAACUUGCCUUUAGGAGGGGGAUAACCGCUGGAAACGGUGGCUAAUACCGCAUAAUGUCUACGGACCAAAGCAGGGGCUCUUCGGACCUUGCACCUAAAGAUAGGCCCAAGCGAGAUUAGCUAGUUGGUGGGGUAAAGGCCCACCAAGGCGACGAUCUCUAGCUGUUCUGAGAGGAUGAUCAGCCACACUGGGACUGAGACACGGCCCAGACUCCUACGGGAGGCAGCAGUGGGGAAUAUUGCACAAUGGGGGAAACCCUGAUGCAGCCAUGCCGCGUGUGUGAAGAAGGCCUUCGGGUUGUAAAGCACUUUCAGUGGUGAGGAAGGCCGUAAGAUUAAUACUCUUGCGGAUUGACGUUAACCACAGAAGAAGCACCGGCUAACUCCGUGCCAGCAGCCGCGGUAAU
rnacentral:rRNA from 1 species